rnacentral:misc_RNA from 1 species
CCGAUAUUUGACACAUUCAGCGCACCGCUUGUGCCUGCUUCUUGAUGUGAGUAAUGCUCUUCUUUCCAUGGGUGUCGUAGCGUUUCAGGCUUGACCGAUCCGAAAGUAAAUCCUGGUUCCAGAGUGCUGGGGCCAUUCCUUGAAGAUGUUUGAGACAGAAUCAUGGAAGCAGGGGAUAGAACCGCAGACGAUGGCUGAGAAUAGG